rnacentral:pre_miRNA from 1 species
CUUUGUAUUCUUCCACAGCUUUCUUGAACUGCAUCUAUUACAACCACCAUCCCCACGGCUGGUCCUGAGGCGGUUUCUUGUUUUUGCGGUUCAAUAAAGCUGUGGGAAGAUACAGAUA